rnacentral:rRNA from 1 species
UACGUAGGUGGCAAGCGUUAUCCGGAAUUACUGGGCGUAAAGCGCACGCAGGCGGUCUUUUAAGUUUGACGUGAAAGCUCCCGGCUUAACUGGGAGAGGUCGUUGAAUACUGGAAGACUUGAGGAAAUGAGAGGGGUGUAGAAUUCCUGGUGUAGUGGUGGAAUGCGUAGAUAUCAGGAGGAAUACCAGUGGCGAAAGCGGCACCCUAGCAUUUUUUCUGACGCUCAUGUGCGAAAGCGUGGGAGCGAACGGG